UACGUAGGGUGCGAGCGUUAAUCGGAAUUACUGGGCGUAAAGCGUGCGCAGGCGGUUUUGUAAGCCAGAUGUGAAAUCCCCGGGCUCAACCUGGGAAUGGCAUUUGGGACUGCAAGGCUGGAGUACGGCAGAGGAGACUGGAAUUCCUGGUGUAGCAGUGAAAUGCGUAGAGAUCAGGAGGAAUAUCGAUGGCGAAGGCAGGUCUCUGGGCUGAUACUGACGCUCAUGCACGAAAGCGUGGGGAGCAAACAGG
rnacentral:rRNA from 1 species